rnacentral:lncRNA from 1 species
UAUAUAAAUUCCAACCAACACACCAGUACGGUAUACUGUGCCUUAACAGUACAUUGUGCCUUAACGGUACACAGUACCUAAACAGUAAUCAGUAACGGUAGUAGUAACAGUAACAGUAAUAGUAUUCAACACACGAAGUUCUGAAUCUGUAACAGUAACGGUAACAGUAUUCAACAUACAAAGUGUCGAAUCAGUAACAGUAACAGUAACAGUAGUCGGCACAUAAGUGCCUGAUCAGUAAGCCGGC